UAAAUGCGGAUCAGUUAUUAUUUUGUGGAAUUAAAUCGAAAUACAAGAAAUAAAAGAGAAAUUAAUUGGAUGCAAGUUGACCGGCAGAACUACCUACCAUUGGAUGUGAAUCGAGUGUAAUUUAUAGUGGUGUUAAGUAUAAAUUACUAUAUAAUAAACUUAUCCCAACACUCUACAGGUAAUAUUAUAAGUAAAUCAAAAACUUUAUUAAGGUCGACAACACUCGAAUCCCAUAAUGACCGAAGAAAAGGAGUUAAUAAAAAAGCGAGGCAGUUUUAAAGGCCGUUUAACUGCAUUUAUUAAUUAUUUGCAUACACUAACUGAUGAACCGUUAAGUCUCUCGGAUGCCAGAGAAUUACAAUUACGUAUGGGUAAAAUUGAGUCGUUGUAUGAACAGUAUGAUCAGUUCAUGGCAGUCAUCCACAUCAGAAUUCCAAUACAGCAGAAUCACAUAAUCGAAUCUGCCCUAAGUGUAAGGGUGACCAUAGUCUAACCGGUUGCCCCCAGUUUCUUGCGUUGAGCGUUGAAGCGCGCCUAAAGGUACU